rnacentral:rRNA from 1 species
GGGGGAACUGAAACAUCUAAGUACCCCGAGGAGAAGAAAUCAACCGAGAUUCCGGUAGUAGCGGCGAGCGAACCUGGAUUAGCCCUUAAGCACUCGGUGAAGUAGGUGAACAAGCUGGAAAGCUUGGCGAUACAGGGUGAUAGCCCCGUAACCGACGCUUCAUCGAGCGUGAAAUCGAGUAGGGCGGGACACGUGAUAUCCUGUCUGAAUAUGGGGGGACCAUCCUCCAAGGCUAAAUACUCCUGACUGACCGAUAGUGAACCAGUACCGUGAGGGAAAGGCGAAAAGAACCCCUGUGAGGGGAGUGAAAUAGAACCUGAAACCGUGUACGUACAAGCAGUAGGAGCACCUUCGUGGUGUGACUGCGUACCUUUUGUAUAAUGGGUCAGCGACUUAUAUUCAGUGGCAAGGUUAACCGUAUAGGGGAGCCGUAGCG